rnacentral:rRNA from 1 species
ACGAACGCUGGCGGCGUGCUUAACACCUGCCAGUCGCACGGUGAAGGGACUGGUUUUGCUGGUCCUGGAUGAGUGGCGAACGGGUGAGUAACACGUGAGUAACCUGCCCCCUUCUUCUGGAUAACCGCAUGAAAGUGUGGCUAAUACGGGAUAUUCUGGGUCUGUCGCAUGGUGGGCCUGGGAAAGAUUGCGCCUUUUUUGGUGUUUUUGGUGGGGGAUGGGCUCGCGGCCUAUCAGCUUGUUGGUGGGGUGAUGGCCUACCAAGGCGGUGACGGGUAGCCGGCCUGAGAGGGUGGACGGUCACACUGGGACUGAGACACGGCCCAGACUCCGACGGGAGGCAGCAGUGGGGAAUAUUGCACAAGGGGCGCAAGCCGGAUGCAGCGACGCCGCGUGAGGGAUGGAGGCCUUCGGGUUGUGAACCUCUUUCGCCAGUGAAGCAGGCCUGCCUCUUUUUGUGGGUGGGUUGACGGUAGCUGGAUAAGAAGCGCCGGCUAACUACGUG